UACGGGGGGGGCAAGCGUUGUUCGGAAUUACUGGGCGUAAAGGGCUUGUAGGUGGCCAACUAAGUCAGACGUGAAAUCCCUCGGCUUAACCGGGGAACUGCGUCUGAUACUGGAUGGCUGGAGUGUGGGAGAGGGAUGCGGAAUUCCAGGUGUAGCGGUGAAAUGCGUAGAUAUCUGGAGGAACACCGGUGGCGAAGGCGGCAUCCUGGACCGGCAUCGACGCUGAGGCGCGAAAGCCAGGGGAGCAAACGGG
rnacentral:rRNA from 1 species